AGUGAACGCUGGCGGUAGGCCUAACACAUGCAAGUCGAACGAGUGGCGGACGGGUGAUGAAUACAUCGGAAUCUACUCUGUCGUGGGGGAUAACGUAGGGAAACUUACUCUAAUACCGCAUACGCUUAAAUGCGCCGAUGUCGUAUUAGCUAGUUGGCGGGGUAAAGGCCCAACAAGGCGACGAUCCGUAGCUGGUCUGAGAGGAUGAUCAGCCACACUGGAACUGAGACACGGUCCAGACUCCUACGGGAGGCAGCAGUGGGGAAUAUUGGACAAUGGGCGCAAGCCUGAUGCAGCCAUACCGCGUGGGUGAAGAAGGCCUUCGGGUUGUAAAGUCCUUUUGUUGGGAAAGCGGUACCCAAAGAAGAAGCACCGGCUAACUUCGUGCCAGCCGCCGCGGUAAUUC
rnacentral:rRNA from 1 species